AGAGGGCAUUGGAGCUUCUUGACAAUAUGUCAGAUCGCCCGUAUUCUGUAUCUGAAGUAUUGAGAUGCAUUCAUGUGGGUCUGCUAUGCGUGCAACAAAAGCCGGAAGACAGACCAAAUAUGUCAUCUGUGGUUUUGAUGUUGGGCAGUGAGAAUUCAUUGCCUGACCCAAAGCAACCUGGUUUUUUCACGGAAAGGAAUAUGCCCGCAGUGGACUCUUCAUCAGGAAAUCAUGAAUCAUCGUCUAUAAAUGACCUAACUAUUUCAGAGCUAGAUGCACGGUAGAAGAUUGGCUCUGAUGGUUAAAAGGAAGAGCUAUAUAUAUAUAUAUAUAUGUAUGUAUAUUCUAGCCAAAUCCAAGGCAUAUAACAGAAAUUAAAUAUUUUCUGCUAUAAUUAUGUUGAUGUAUUAUUUUUACCUGUCUACAAGUCCUCUGCAAGUACUAGUGCGAAUACAGAUAGACAGAAUGCUUGAGGAUUCACAUCUCUGGACUGCACAAUAUCUGUACUUGUUUGCUUCGAGCCGUCGAAUUUAAUGCACGGAUCUGGGUUCAAGAUCUAUAUAUGCUAGAGCCUCACUGGCUUCUAACCCAAAAAGAAUCCAUUAGAAUUGUCAAUAUAUAAUUAGUAAAAAAAAAUUACAUACAAUUUAAACAAUCCAAAUUUAUAAUUCAAAUUUACAUUAUAUUUUUCAUAACAUGUUAAAAAAAUAUAUUUUUAACAACCAUACAAGGAGCUAUAGUCUUUCCUUGAUUGAUUUCAUAGCACCUUAAACUUAGCCUUGACCUAACCCUUUUAGGGAUAAAUAUUAUAGGUACGAGUACCUUGAUGAUACUUAGCCUUUGUAGGGGAAUCCGACCGGUGAUGUUUUGAUAUUUGCUCAUAGUAGGCUAAGCACACUAACACAAUAUUUAACGUGGUUCGACAAACCGCCUACAUCCACGGGAGAAACCAUUUGAUUAUAUAGGGAGAGAACAAGAUUUACAACAGUAGAGGAGGAGGAAUCAUCCCCUCUUUGGCAACUCUCAACCUCACUCUAUUUUUCUCUUCUCAAUGCUGCAUUGGCAGCUACUGCUGGCUGCCUUGGCAGCCCACUCUCUCUUACAUUUCUCUCAUAUUUGGCUCUACUUUCACUCUCAUUUUGCUCUCUAAAAUCAUGCCUCUUUUAUAGGCAUCAAUGGCAGCUCCUCUUGCUCCUUUGUCAGCAAUGGUGGCUUCCAAACUUACCAAACUUUGACAAUAGACAAUGGUUGUUGGCUGCCACCAACAACCCACCAUUAUAGCCUCAUUCUUUGACUCUCACAUAGCAGUCAUCUUCUUUGACAUAGGCAGCCACAUAAUUGGCAAUAUUCCAACAAUCACCCCCUUUGCCAUUUAUGUGGGGCAACUAUCCUCUUGCUUCUUCAGCACAUGCUUGCAUCUUGCAGCUUUUCCAAGCUUACCAUUCAACCAGAUGGUUUGUCACAUCUCAUCUGAAGAGUGUUUAAUGCUUGUCUCUGGAACAACAUUCCCCUUCAAGCAUAUCAACCAUGCUUGGCCUGGAAUGAUUUAUCAAGCCUUACAUCAAGGCUUACAACACCCCCUCAAACUGAUAUUCCCAAGUGCGAUAGUCAUUGAGUAUUUUAAUGUGAUCACGAGCUCACCACUCUUCCAAGAGCCUACUCAUCCAGGAGUUGCGUCUGCCCUCUAUUCCACCCUAGGAACCACGCCUUACUUCUCCGUGAGUCUCUCACUCUUAGUCUCAAGAGUCCGGGUAGCAUCCACCUUUACUUAUGGGGGCAGCCCAUUAAAGGUUGAUCCAUAUCUAUCUUCAUACUCUGAGUAUUACAAUGCUUUCACCGAGCUCACCACCUUGACAAGAGUCAACUUGUUCCCGGAACCUGCGCAUGCCCUCUGCUCCUUCAUAGCAGUCGCGUCUUAAUGCUCCACAAGUCACCCACUUAUUGUCCAAGGUAAAUGUCUUCUAGCUCAUUGAUCUUUAGCAUGGGGGCAAUAUCCAUGAAAGUCAAUCCUGCAUUUGUCUUCAUACUCAUCAUAGACUCUUCAUUGGCUAUACACUUGUCCACUUAUAUCCAGCCAUCAUAUUGGCUCUAGGGCUGGGCUCUUUUCAUGGCCCUCACACCUUCUCGUGAGGUGUCUCCGCUCGUCGUCAUGCGAUAGUCUGAAUCUGGGCUAAUAUUAUAGCCCUCACACCGUCCAUCCGAGGUGUCUCCGUUCAUCGUCAUGCGGCUUCAUGUCCCUCACACCUUCUCCGAAGGUGUCUUCGCCCGUUGUCAUGGGGCAGUCUGAUCUUGGGCUCAUAUCAUGGCCCUCACACCUUCUGUCUGAGGUGUCUCCGCCUAUCGUUAUGAGACGGCCUGAACAUGGACUCAUAUCAAGGUCCUCACACCUUCUGUCCAAGGUAUCUCCGCCUGUCGUCAUGAGACGGUCUGAACAUGGACCCAUAUCAUGGUCCUAACACCUUUCGUCUGAGGUGUCUCCGCCUGUUGUCAUGAGACGGUCUGAAUCUGGGCUCAUAUUAUAGCCCUCACACCUUCCAUCCGAAGUGUCUCCGCUCAUCGUGGAGCGGUCUGAAUCUAGGUUCAUAUCAUGGCCCACAAACCUUCCUCUAAGGUGUCUCUGCCCGUUGUCAUGGGACAGUCUGAUCUUGGACCCAUAUCAUGGUCCUCACACCUUCUGUCUAAGGUGUCUCUGCCUGUUGUCAUGAGACGGCCACAUCCUCCUUCAUCGGGGAUGUCUCUAGUGGCUCUAAGAUUCUCUACCACCAUGUGGACUUGGGAGAGAUUACUGCCACUGAUUACAUAGAAAGAUAAAGUUGUGGCAUACUCCUCGCAAUCCUCCACCUCGAUUUCUAUGUCUGGAGCUUCUACGCCUUUCUACUUGAUAGCUCCACCUACACCACUCUCUUUAGUGUCUUCGCCUUUCAUCAUAGGCGGUCACCUUUGUCACAGGCGUUUGCACCCCCUCAAUUAGGUGCCUCUGCAACAGCUCAUCUUUCCAUCAUUGCAUGCAUUGGAAAGGUCCUCGCUUGUUGCCUUCAUCAAGAGCACAAGAGAUUUCUUGUUGUAUAACUUUUUCACACCGUCUCUACUCUAAGCUUCAUCUGGGAACUCUUAUUCUCCUUGCACCUACUGUCUCAUUACAGUACCUCGUUGGAUCCUACGGGUACUCCUGCACAAUCUCCGUGUGCUCUCGUGCAAUUCCGGUUCUCUAGAUUUCUCCCUAUUUUUUGCUUUUAUGUUUGACAACAGCUCAUCCUGUCACAACAUUUAUCCAAGUCAAAAUAGGGUGCCAAUCUUUAUCCCCUUGUUGUAUUUCUCUUCCAUUAUCAGGGUCUUCAUUAAUUCUCCCUUCGAGAAAUUACAGUCACCGAAUCUAACUUCUUUGGAGAAAUCACCACUCCAUUAGAUCCUUGAACAUACGGAACCCAACUGUUCCUUUAUGUCGUCAUCUUGCUAGUCUUCAACAGUUUCAUUACAAACUGUUACAUAUACAAAAAUAGUACUGUGUGGAUGAUCCUUCAACUAAGCAAGUUCCCAGGAAAGAUUUGGAGGGGUCACACUGGUCCCGUGAUUAGUACUUAAAAGUGCAUGUUUAUCAAGGUUUUAUAUCAUCAUUUUGCACUUGAAGUAUCAAUAACUCCUUAACUAAAGCAUGUUUUAUAAUAACAAGUUUGAUACUAUAAGAUACCUUAAUUUAUGGUAAAUGCUCAUCUUAUAUGCAGGCCUAUCACAUAAAUAAAAUGAUUGAUUGAUGAGUUUAAGUAUUGAAAGUGAAAGGACAAAGAGAUGGCCAAACUUAGAAAAGAGAUGUCGGUGCAGUCCAAACCAGAACAUUGCUCGGUAAUUGGAUCAUAUUUGGAGCUCUAGAUCUCAGAUUUAGGUCCAUUUUAUAUGGAUGGAAAGGUAAUACAAAGGCCUACAACUUUCAUGAGGAGCCUAAGAUUUAAAAAGGUCGUUUUGAAGUCCAAAUUGAAGGAACAACGAAGAAGUCCGAAGCUGUCCUGCAGCCCAGACACUAUUUAGUGUUCAACCCAUAUCUUGAGUUCUAGAAGUCCAAAUGACCUCAUCUUUUUUUUUUUGGAAAGCUGAGACAAUUUCCUAGAACAUUCCUGAGGAUUCUGGGCAAAUUAUUAUGUUAGAAAUGACGUUUUGUUCAGACAAGAAGAUAAGGAUUGUCACCAAGUCAAGAUGUGGCCACCCACUCAUCAAUUAGUCAACAAAUCAAUAGUUCUAAAUUUUGGCCUAUAAAAGGAGGCACUUACCAUGUAUUGAGGCAUCUUGGUUUCCAGAUCAAGAUCAUGCUCUUGCUUUCUCUCUUUGUAUUGCUUAUGUCUUGCUUUCAUUAAUAUCAAGUUUAUGCACUUCAUUUUCUUUCCUUUACUUAGUUAACUUCUUUCUCAUUUAUGUUCUUAUCUUGUUCAUUUAUGUUUCUUUCUUUCAUUAUGUUCAGCUAAGUUAAUUAUGUCAAGGUGAAAAGGGUACACUAAUGGUGUAAGAAUAAGUAUAAUAUAAACUUAACAUGGACCUUAACGUUGGAUACUAACAUGUUUUAUAUUUGUUAUCUUGUUCACUUUUAAUACUUUGCUUGUUAAAUGGUUAAUCUAGAUUUAUGUUAUAUAACAUUUGGUACAACAAAUACUUGGUACUUUCAUAGCCCAUACUGUAUGGUAUAACCGACACCUGAGCUAUAAAAGGAACUUGAUUUGUUGUUAACAUAAGUUAUAAUCAUGAAUGCCUGCCAACAUUUACAAGUAUUAGCUUUAUUCGAAUAAGAUAACUAAUGUAAUCAUGUUAACAAUUUAUAAUCUGAUUGGAACCUCCUUUAUGUGUGGUUUCCAAUUGAGUAAUAAGAGUUUAUACUAUACUUGUUUGAAAUACCAUUAGUGGAUCCUCUAACCUUGACAUUUGUUGUUGUUAUUGUUUAAUCCUUACGUUAAUCUUUCAUCUCAAAGUUCUCAUUAAUUUCUUCAUCUUCUGCUUUUAUUAUUAUUAUUAUUAUUAUUAUUAUUAUUAUUAUUUACAUUCUGUUUAUAUUAUAUAAUAUAUAUCUUUGAUCUUUUCAUAAACUCAGUAUAUAGGCUGGAAACCUGUGACCCGAUCUUUUAGAUUAUUCUCAGGUAUAACAACGCCACGUACUAAGUAUUAUAAUUAUUAUUGUUGUUAUUAUUGUUGUUGUUGUUAUUGUUGUUGUAUUGUUAUUUAUAAUUUAUACAAUUAAUCUCUAUGUGGUUCGACCCCGGUUUUGCCGGGUUAUUUAUUACUUCGACACUCCUGCACUUGGGAAAAGACAUCAAGCUUUAGGUCGUGUCAAGUUUUUGGCGCCGUUGCCGGGGAGGUAAAUUCUUGUAUAAAUUAUAAUUUUUAUUUCUUUUUAUUUUUUUCAUUUUAUUUAAUUUUGUUUCUUUUCUUUUCUUGCUUUUAUUCUCUUUUUACACGUGCAUGAGAGUUUGGUCACGUAUAUUAAGUGGUCGACUUUGUAGGGUAUCCUCAUCAUUUUUAGAAAAUAUGGCUGAAGAAGAUAAUCAAUCGCUUCAUAAUGAGAAUAAUGAGAAUAACCGUAUGAGAACACUUAGAAAUCACAUGAAUCCCACAAGAACAAGUGCACCCUCAUGCAUAGUUUUCCCUUUCCUUUCCUGGUAUGAUACAAGCAUGAGGCUAGUAGAAUGCAAGGACAAGUGUCUAAAAAACUACAAUUGCACGGCAUAUGCAAAUUCAAAUAUCACAGGAGAAGGCAGUGGCUGCAUACUCUGGUUCGGUGAAUUGGCUGAUAUGAGAGAGUUUAGUUAUGGGGGCCAAGACCUCUACAUAAGGAUGCCACCACCUUUGAAAACAGGUAUUUUUCAAUAUUCUUCCCAUGAUUCUCAAGCAGGGUAUUUUUUUUCACUCUUUCUCUCUGUUUCUUUGUUUUUUUUUUUGAAAUGAGGAAGUUGUAUGUUCCUUGAAUGUUUUCCUAACUUCGUGUCCUCAUUUCCUCAUUCUAUUUACAAAUAAAACAGAACUCCUUUCUGUGUUUAUUGUGGGUUUUCAGAUCAGGCGACGUCAAACACAAAUUCUGGUAAGAAGAAGCUUUCAGGAAUCAUACUCGGUUCCACACUCCUUGCUGGAGUGCUUAUGGUAGGACUAAUCUUCUAUAUAUGGAGAAAGAAGCAGAAAAAGCAAGGUAGUGUACUGUGGACAAUUCUUCUUAUUCCAGAACAUGGACCUUGUUGAUAUAUAUAGUAUGCAUGGUAGAAUUUUAUGUUAGUCAUCGAUAACAAAAUGAAGCAUUUGUUAGAUCAUUGCUGACAACUGAUCAAUCUUCUGCUAUUCAGAAAUAGAGGAAGACAUGGAGUUGCCAUCGUUUCAUUUGGCCACCAUAGUGAAAGCAACGGAUAACUUUUCAAGCAACAACAAGUUGGGACAAGGUGGUUUUGGACCGGUAUAUAAGGUAUAUAACAACGUGCUUCAAAGCUGAGAGAUCAUCUACUAUGAGAUAUUCUAACUUCAGUAAAUAACGAUUCCCAGGGUACAUUGAUUGAUGGGCAAGAAAUAGCAGUGAAAAGACUCUCAAAAAGUUCUCGGCAAGGAUUGACAGAGUUCAAGAAUGAAGUUAUCUUGAUAGCUAAGCUUCAGCACAGAAAUCUUGUUAAACUUCUUGGCUGUUGCAUUCAAGGAGAUGAAGUAAUGUUGAUCUAUGAAUUCAUGCCCAACAAAAGCCUAGAUUGUUUUAUUUUCGGUUUGUACCCCAUGAACUGGUUAGAGUUUCUUGCAGUUAGAUUGCUUGUUCUAUGAUGUUUCAUUUAUACAUCAGAAUAACAUAACAUUAUGAUAAAUUGAUUAGAUCAAACAAGAAACAAAUUCCUGGACUGGCAGAGACGUAACCUCAUUAUCGGUGGCAUUGCUAGAGGACUACUUUAUCUUCAUCAAGACUCUAGACUAAGGAUUAUCCAUAGAGAUCUCAAAGCCAGCAACAUAUUAUUAGAUAAGGAUAUGAACCCCAAAAUUUCAGAUUUUGGAAUGGCUAGACUGUUUGGAGGAGACCAAAUUGAAGCAAACACAAAUAAAGUGGUCGGAACAUAGUAAGUACACUCUACACCUAUUUUGUUACAAUGUAUAAUCUCCGCACAUUUAAACUUUUUCUGAAAAUGUUUUUCCGCAGUGGAUACAUGUCCCCUGAGUACGUUGUUGAUGGGCGUUUCUCACUGAAAUCCGACGUCUUCAGCUUCGGUGGUUUAGUCUUGGAGAUAAUAAGUGGGAAGAAAAAUAGAGGAUUCUCCCACCCGGAUCAUUGCUAUAAUCUUCUUGGACAUGUAAGGAUAAAAUUAAACAUGUUAAUUUAAUUUAAUUAUGUAUUAACAAUUUUUCUCAUGACAAGUUUUUUGUUUUCCAGGCAUGGAAACUGUGGACGGAAGAGAGGGCAUUGGAGCUUCUUGAAAAUAUGUCAGAUCGCCCGUAUUCUGUAUCUGAAGUAUUGAGAUGCAUUCAUGUGGGUCUGCUAUGCUAUGGUUUUGAUGUUGGGCAGUGAGAAUUCAUUGCCUGACCCAAAGCAACCUGGUUUUUUCACGGAAAGGAAUAUGCCCGCAGUGGAGUACUCUUCAUCAGGAAAUCAUGAAUCAUCAUCUAUAAAUGACCUAACUAUUUCAGAGCUAGAUGCACUGUAGAAGAUUGGCUCUGAUGGUUAAAAGGAAGAGCAUAUAUAUAUAUAUAUAUAUAUAUAUAUAUUUCUAGCCAAAUCCAAGGCAUAUAACAGAAGUUAAAUAUUUUCUGCUAUAAUUAUGUUGAUGUAUUAUUUUUACCUGUCUACAAGUCCUCUGCAAGUACUGUUGCGAAUACAGAUAUACAGAAUGCUUGAGGAUUCACAUCUCUGGACUGCACAAUAUCUGUACUUGUUUGCUUCGAGCCAACGAAUUUAAUGCACGGAUCUGGGUUCAAGAUCUAUAUAUGCUAGAGCCUCACUGGCUUCUAACCCAAAAAGAAUCCAUUAGAACUUCUUACUAGAUUUAUAUGUACAAUUCAAUAAUUCUUUUGUAUUGAAAAGUUUUAUAUUAUAUUUUUCUCUCACAUUUUAUUUAAAUCACUCAUUGAUUAUAAUGUUGUUGACUUUCUUUGUUAGAUUCUAAUGUAAUUUAAUUUUUUGGCUAGAAUUGUCAAUAUAUAAUUAGUAAAAAAAAAAUUACAUACAAUUUAAACAAUCCAAAUUUAUAAUUCAAAUUUACAUUAUAUUUUUCAUGACAUGUUAAAAAAAUAUAUUUGUAACAACCAUACAAGGAACUAUAGUUUUUCCUUGAUUGAUUUCAUAGCACCUUAAACUUAGCCUUGACCUAACCCUUUUAGGGAUAAAUAUUAUAGGUACGAGUACCUUGAUGAUACUUAGCCUUGACCUAACAAAUUUUCAUAUCAUAAUUCCAAAAUUUUGAAAAUAAAAAUAAAAUGCAAAAACUAAAAUAGAAAAUCAAAAAUAAAAUGAUAUCAAAAAACCCUUCUAACUUUUCUUUUUUAUGUAAGGGUUGAAUUAUAUUAACUCAAUUAACCCAUCUUUCUAAAUUAAGUUAUAUAUUUUUUAAUAAUUUAUGUAUUUUAUCUCAAAUAGAUAAAACAUUAAAAAUAGAAGAGUUAUUAUGGAUCCCACAAAAUAAUAGCUGUAAAGCAUAUAUAGCUUGAUAUUAUGACAAAAAGAUGUCAUAUUGACGUUUUAAUUAACUUAUUAUGUUAUAAUGGAGGAACCUUUACAAAAUAAAAUAAAGAGAAGAGGGAUUUAAUCAAUAUUAAAAUAUAAAAAGAGUAGUUGCUAUAAAAAUAAAUAAAUUGAAGAGUACAAAGAUGAAAUAUGAGUGGAACCUGCUAUUUAAUAUGAAUUUUAUGGUUUCGUCCAAACUGGCCACAACAAUCAUAUGGUUUCGUUCAAAGUUCAAACUCGUGUAUGGAUGGGCUUCAAAUGAAAGCCUCUUAUGGAUUUUGGAAAAAGAAUAAUUUAUACUAGGAAAUAGGCCAAGAAAUCAAGGAUGGAAAAACGAGAGAGAAGAAAUCUAUGACAUAGUAUACAACUUGGAGAAAUAUUAUCAAAAUUAAAGGUUCAAGAUGUUGAUAGAAUCGGUAUUUAUUAUAGACGUGAAAAAAUACGAUUAAUGUUUGUUUUUAGUUUAAUUUAGUCUUUGCUUUGUUUUAUUUUGCAUGUUUUAGGGCUUUAGUUGUAUUUGUAUGCUUUUUUUUUGUCAUUAAAGGACUGCUAAAAAAAAAAAUAUUGUAAUUGGAAAAACAUCUAUCUGUAGAUGCAAAACGAUAGAAAUAUCUAUGAUAGUUUGCCAUCUUGAAAAAUGGCAAGUAAUGUGAUCAAUAUGCUACGGCAAUUAUGUAAAGCAAAGAGAAAGAAAUUACACUUAAUUUGUUUUUUGUAAAAAAAAAAAAAAAAAAAAACCUUUGAAUGACAUUACACUUUAAACUUUUAAAAAGUCUUUUAUGAAAAAACUUAUAUAUAUAAAAAAACACCCUUCACCAAAUUUGUCCAAGGCGGGUUAAGGGUAAGCUUCCACCAACCUUUGCUAGCAUUUAAUAAUUGCAAGAAAAUGUUCCCUCUUGACUUUGCCGUCCCGCUGGGGACGUAACAUUGUACUAAGAAUUUAUCAGGAUCCAAUGUAUCCAAAGCUCGAAGGUCAUGGGAAGCUGAAACAUUGAUGAUAUGACCCCACGUAUCAUUAUGAUGAUGAACAAGAACUUCCAAUAGCAGACCACUGUUUUGAGCUGCAUGGGAUCAAUCCAAUCAAGCUAGGUGUAAUAUUAUGGUGCCAUUUUGCUUGUAAAUCCUGUUCUAGCCGGGAAAGUGGGUAUGUCCUGUACUAUUUUAAAAAACAAAAUAAGGUGAAGCGAAUUUUAUCCCUAAGAGGAGGAUCUCGAAUCAUUUUGAAUUUGUUGUUCAAAUUUCAAUUAAGAUAUCCUAGGUUUACCCGUUUUCAAAUAAUAUUUUAGCGAUUCAAAAUAAGGUUGUUGAAAGUUACAUCAAUGGAGAGAGGGAUGUUAAGGCUAGGGUUGACGCAAUGAACGGUGAGAGUCGUUCAAGGAGUUGAACUUCAAACAUUUUACCUGAUGCUGCACACAUUUAUAGCUUAUGUACGCUGCCCAUAUGAGAGUCCCAAAUUGGACCCAUUCGUAGCGCUGUUUCUCUGUCAUUCGUCGACUGUAGUUAUCAAUGAACUAGCAAGCUUUAUUAGAGUUCUUGCAUGGCUGACAACAGAUAAGCAAGUUAGGCUCUUAAUGUUGGAUGUGUUUUUGGAUUUCUUGGGCUUUAGCCUAGCUGUUAAUGGCAUGUCUUUGUCAGGUGCCCUACUCAUGCGUAAUUUGGAGACCAUAUGAUAAUAUUUCCAGCAAUUUAUAGAAACUAGCUCCAAGUUCUCGAUCCGUUUUCAUAUUGACAAAGAGAAUGGCCGCACAAGUGCUAAGGGCUCAAGGUUAUCUUUCGUCCUUAAUUUGAUUCCCGACGGGGUUUGCUCACCUUUUUCUGAACACACUCUUCCUGACCUUCCAAUGGUGAACAAGUCAAAUCUUUGAUGGAGAUUUUAGCGAUUAAAUAAGGUUGUUGAAAGUUACAUGAAUGGAGAGAGGGAUGUUAAGGCUAGGGUUGACGCAAUGAACGGUGAGGAUUAGAUAAGGAGAAUGUGGAUGACUUGUGUUCUCUAGUCAAUUGAGGGUUGACAGGUGCAACGAAGGGUAUUAAACGGCAGCACUUAGGCUAUAGAGAAGAAGACUUGGUCCAAGAUCAUGCUAGAUCUUUACAACUUGACAGAAUCAGUCCAUUCCAAAUUCAAGUUUGAUGUUUGUUUUAUUUAUAGGACCAGGAAUAAAUCAUGAUAUUCUUAAAGCAUAACCAAAUUUAAAUACAUACCUACUGUUAUGUUUUUAUAUAUAUAUAUAUAUAAACAUAACAGUAGGUUUAGAUUGACUUUAAAUGAUAAAUAACAUUUUGUAGUUUUAUACCGACGGAAAAUACUCCGUCGGCGAUAUAGUGUAUGACCGACGAUCCAUAUCUGUCGGUAAAGUUGUCGGUGAGUGUUUGAAAUACCGACCGAAUAUAUCCAUCUGUAAAUUCGUCGGUACGUUUAGCAGCUACUGUCAAAUGCCGACGGAUUAAUUCUGUCAGUAACGCUGUCGGUGAGUAUGAAAUACCAACCAAAUGUAUCCGUCUGGAUAUUCAUUGGUGAUGGUGGCAGCUACUGUCAAAUGCCGACGGAUUUAGUCCGUCGGUAAAUCCCUUUGUAAUUGUUUUUUUUUUAAUUUUGUUUUUUAAAAAUUAUUUAGAAUACAUAAUAUAAAAUAAUAUAAAUUAAUGGUAAUAAAAACCAAUUAUGGAAAUAAAAUUUAUAUUAAGCAUCAAAAACAAAAAAUCAAAGUUAAAUAAUAUUCAUUACAAAAUGAAUGUGUUUCAAAAAAACAUUAAACGAAAUUUUAAAUGUAAAUAAUGUUUAUUAAAAAUUAAUAUAAAAGGUGGAGCUGGAGGAGGAGGAGGAGGCUGGCGGUCAUACGGCCAAAAAGGAUUAGGCGCACAUGUUCCACCUUGUGCCAUGUUCAUGACCAUUUCACGAAGCUCUUCAUAGGCCGCUCUUUGUUGUUCAGACUCCGCUCUGUGUUGCUCUUUGAGUUGUUCGUACACCACUCUUUGUUGUUCUUUGAGUUGUGUGUAUGCCUCUGAUAGGUGGUCAUACUUUUCGGUGAGCUGAGCCGUGUGUUGCUGUAAGGCCACAAACUACUUAGAUUGGGAGCUCCUGACGGUUGAAGCACCACUGGCCUACCGCAAGUUGUCGGUCGUAGUGUUGGAGAGCCCAUAAACCUGAUUUUUAUCAAGUCCACCUAACGAUCCAGCCUCCAUCCACAAAUCCAGAUCGAAUUCUGAAUGGGUCAAAGGAUCGUCCCCGUAUCUCUCCCUCAACCGCUUAUUAUAGGUGUCCUGAAAAUAAAAAAAGUAAUCAUCAUAUUCAAUUCAAUAAACAUAAUAAUAACUUACAAAAUAAAAUGGUUGAACAAACAUACCAUAAAAUGUUGAGCAUGGCUGUCAACGAGCUGUUGCGCCCCCUUUUGGCGGUCUUGACUCCGCACGUGCAUCUCCACAAACAGCUCCAUCGGGCUCGGCUCACGUCCAAGACACGUAGCCUAUAAUGAAAAAAAAUUAUUAACAGCAAAUUAAUUGAAUGAUAUAUUUCAUUUAAAUUAAUCUUACCAUUCGUUUCGUAUGUGCAACAAACGGAACGGAGUCGCCGGUGUGCGUUGUCACCGAGCCAUGAAUUGGCCGAUUCGGGUUGCCAGCACCGGACUGUGAGCGUCGUGUGAACCGCUCAGACAUCACGUGCUGAAGAUAGUGCGGCCAUAUAUCUUCCUGGAUGUAUAUCGGUUUGAAAUCCCUCCAAACCGCAACAUCGUUCCAGCCUUGGAACCCCUUCUUCCUCGCAUUGUUUUUUGCUUUUUUUUUAGCUUCGUACCAAAAAUCACGCAACCUACUUCACGCAAGCAAAAAUUACAUUUCGAAACAUAAAUUUUUUUGUAAAAAAAAAAAGUUGUAUUGUUUUCGAUGUUACCUAGUUGCCGCGUGAUUUUCCCAAACCCUCCUCACAACAGUGUUAUGUUCAUCGUCCCAGCAGAAUCGGUUCUGUGUAUAAAAAAUUAAUUUUUUAAAAUGUUAAUAAUUUAUUUACAAUUAUAUUAAGAAUUUAUUAGAAAUAAACUGAAAAUUAUAUAUUAACACGAACCUGAAAUCUAGAAAACCAUGCAUUGAUUUGAGGCAUUCAUUCAGGAUGCCUCGAUAUCUAACUCUAUUGAAACAAUGGAAUCUCCAUCGACGAUUUAAACGCCGAUGAUAUUACUCGGGCAGCCUCAAUGUUUGUGAACUUGAAAAGAAAUGAAAUUAAGGAAAUAGUGACUAUUUCAUAAAUUAUGUUUUAAAUUUGUUUAAAAAAACAACACAAAAACCUUAACAAACCUACAUUGAAAGAUCGUCUUUCCAUUGUGCCUCGUACUUGUGGGUAAAUUGAUUCCGCUACGAAGGCACGCCGCUUAUGCGCUGUGAAACAGCGCUGGAAGAGGCAGCAUCGAUUGACGGCGCAGGUGGUGUAGGUGCCUCUUCUUGAGAGGCACCUAAGGAAAUAUCAUCCUCGCUGCUAGACGAACUUGAUUCGACCGGACGUGAACGACCAGCCCUGGUUUUCAUUUUGCGCAUCUACUCAAUUUUAUAUACAUAAUUAUAUAAUUAAAUGUAAAUGUUAAAAAAAAUUCGACAGCACCUCCCCUAUACUGGAUACUACCCAAAUCCACAAACUUACAAAUAUUAACAAUAGCCACAACCAAUUGACCCAAUCUAUUGACCCAAUCUAUACUAAUUAUUUUAACAUAUUCAAUUACUAAUCCUAAGGUAAAUUCAACAUUAACAAUUACAAUUCAACAAAUUAUUCAAUAAUUAUGCCAAUACAACAAAACAAUAAAUUCAAAAUAAAUAGAAACAAUUAAACACAAAUCAUGCAAUAAUAGAGUAAAAUUAAUAAUUCUUCCAACAUAUUCAAUUACUAAUUCUAAGGUAAAUUCAACAUUAACAAUAUUAAUUCAACAAAUUAUUCUAUAAUUAUGCCAAUACAACAAUAAAAUAUAUUCAAUAAAUGAAAAAAGAAUUAUAGCCUAACAAUUAAAAUCAAUGGAAACAAUUAAACACAAAUCAUGCAAUAAUAUAGAAAAAUUACUAAUUAUUCCAACAUAUCCAAUUACUAAUUCUAAGGUAAAUUCAACAUUAACAACAAAUAAUCAACAAAUUAACUAAUAACAAUUAUGCCAAUACAACAAUAAAAUAUAUUCAAUAAAUUAAAAAAAAAUUAUAAACUAACAAUUAAAAACAAUGGAAAUAAUUAAACACAAAUCAUGCAAUAAUAUAGUAAAAUUAAUAAUUAUUCCAACAUAUGCAAUUACUAAUUCUAAGGUAAAUUCAACAUUAACAACAAAUAUUCAACAAAUUAACUAAUAACAAUUAUGCCAAUACAACAAUAAAAUAUAUUCAAUAAAUUAAAAAAAAACUAUAGACUUUAGGGAAGAAAUAUGCAUACCUUAAUAAUUUGUUGAAACAAAAACUUUAUCUACAUUACAAAAAAAUACACCAAAACAAAAAAACAUAAAAAUAAUAAAAUAACGAAAAAUAAAAUAAAAUGAAAUAGGAAAAAACACAUACCUUUUAAUGUGAUGGAGAUUCACAACAAAGCUUGCUAGAGAUUCUAGGUGAAAGACUUGAAGAUUUGAGAGGAAACAAAUCAAAAUUCUAAGGUGAGAAACGGAGGAGAAGAAAAAAAGAACUAAAGGGGCGGACGCAAGAACUUAUAGGGCAGUUUUACCGACGGAAAUAAAAAUUAUUAUUAUUUAAAUUAAAUUCGUCGGUAACGUGUUAAAAAUCCGUCGGCAAUUUUUGAAUUUCGCGGUUCGUCGGUAUGCUGACUCGGUUAGAGGUUCAUUCAAUGCAGACCCUUUGGAAUUCGCACAUUCCGUCAGUAUUUUUGUCGGUAAGAUUUUCCCACCGACAAAUUACUGACGGCCAUAAUUACGUCGGUGAGGUCGUCGGUGAUUGUGGCGUUUCGCGUAAUUAUUGACGAACACUUUGUGAGAUGCCGACGGACUUUAGUCCGUCUAAAGUCCGUCGGUGAAUCCGUCAAUAUGGGCGUCGGUGAUUGUGGCAUUUCGCGUAAUUAUUUUCGAACUCUCUGUGAGAUACCGACGGAUAUAAUUACGUCGGUGAGGUCGUCGAUGAUUGUGGCAUUUCACGUAAUUAUUUUUUAAAUCUAUGUGAGAUGCCGAUGGACGUGAGUCCGUCGGUGUGUGUGUCGGUGAAUCUGUCGGUACGACGUCGGUGAUUGUGGCAUUUCACGUAAUUAUUUUCGAACUCUCUGUGAGAUGCCGACGGAUGUUAUUCCGUCGGUAUGGACGUCGGGAAGUUUGCAUUUUACAGGAAAAGUUGUAUUUGUAUUGCCUAUUUACCUUUCUACAAAAACUUAACUGAUAAACUGUCCAUCGCAUAAAACAAUAACAACAGUGCUUAAGCAAUAAAUAUUUUGUGUUACAAAAUAUAUCAUCCAUAAUCUAAAUUACAUGAAAAAAAAGGGUUUUACAUAGGGCUUCAUUUUGAUAGUUAGUCGGAAUUUUCUUCUUCUUCCUCAUCAAUUGAAUUGUCAUCACCUUCAUCGCAAUCUUUAAUAUGGAUAUCAUCUUCUUCAUUGACAUUUGCUUGUCCGCUAGAGCUCAGAACAACAUUCAACUCCUCUGCAUCAAUAUCAACAAGACUAUCAUCGAAAACAUGAAAAUUUGAAUUUUCUUCCAAUUCAAUCGAAGGAGCAACUCGAUAUGGUUCAACCAACUCACUAACUUGAAAGACUUCAUCUCGCACACUUGUGUCUUCGUUCUCAUCCUGAACAACCUCGACAUGACCCCGUGGUUUUGUUUUUAAAAUGGACAACCAAUUAACUCUUGAUCGAUCCUUUCUAAAUGAAAGGGUGUAUGUGUAAUAAACUUGUUGACAUUGCUUUGCGAAAACAAAGACAUUGUUUAUGUUGCGAAGUCUAGCUUUUGAGUUGAUUUCGACCAGACCAUAGUGUUGUAACCCAUUUUUGGGUCCCCACAUAAAAAAUAAUAAAAUACAAAAAAAUUCAAAAAAUUCAAAAAAAUAUAUUAUCAAAAAAUAUAACAGUGAAAAAAUGCCAGAGCGCCCUAAAAAUGCUCAAAAAUUGAUUGAGGAUGUUCAAAAAUCAAAAAUUAAUUUUUGACAGUAUAUCAUUGACUGAUGAGAGCCCCGAUGAUAAAGAAAAUUCAAUUUGUGGAAGAAAAAUGCAAAAUCAGAAGUUUAUGGACUCAAUUAAAUUUUAUUAAAGGUUUAAUUGCAUUUAUGAAGGUUUUAAUUGCAAAAACAAUUGAUUUUGGAGUUAUUUUGGGCUUUAAUUGGAAGAAAUUAAUUUUCUGGGGUCAAAUUAUAAUUUUCUUUCCCGUUUUUCGCGCAAUAAGACGCCCGCAAUCACCCACUUGUAUCCUCCUUUUUAUCCUUCUGAGUUGAUAGUAGAGGGGCGGCCGACAGUGGCCGCCCCACCACGACACCGCCCCCCUAUUUUUGCCUAUAAAAACAGGGGAGGGGCACCGAGAAAAAAAAAAACAAAGAACAAAAGGGAGAGGGAGACAAACCGAGAUAGAAGAGAAGAGAAGAGAGAGGGCAGAGAAGAAGAAGAAGGAGAAGAAGCAGCAGGGAAGAAAACGAAGAAAAACAGAAGAGAGAGAGAGAGAGAGAGAACCACCGCCGGCCUCCGCCACCGUGCCUACGCCGCCAGCAGCACCGCCACGACGUCACCGCAGGUAAUCUCUCGCCGCCCUGUCGCCUUCUCUGUUUGCUGCCUCCCUCAUUUGCAUGCAGAACAUGAAUAAAUUCACGUUCUGCAGCUGAAGAGGGCUGGUUACUGUGCUUAGGCACAGUAACCAGCCCAUUUGGUAAUGGGCCGGGUUGGCCCAUAUCAAUGGGCUGGGCCGGACCCGGCCCAUUUCAAUUUAUUUUUUUCUCAGAAGUUUUUUACAAUUUUUUUGGCACAUUUUUUUUUAUCAAUUUUGCUUAAUAUCGGUCUGUAUUUUACAUCGUAAAAAUAUAAAUUCGGUAUUAAAAUACUCGGUUUUCAUACGGUACUGUUCACACAACAACAAAAAAUCAAAAAUAUUUGUUUCAGCAUUUUAUAAUUUUUCCACGUAGUUUUUUAUGUCAUUUUGAUUAAUAUCGGGCAGUAUUUUUACAUCGUAAAAAUAUAAAUCCGGUAUUAAAAUACCCGGUUUUCGGCAAAAACUUCAAAAAAUAAAAAAAAUUGAAAAAAGAUAAAAAAAUGUUUUUGUGCAUACGGCCAAGUGUCUCAAAUCUAAAAUAUCAUAUUGUAUUUUUCAUAUGUCAAAAAACAAUAUUUUAGCAUGCAUUUUGGCUUUAAUAACCAGUUUAUUAAAGUCAAGAGAACAUUGGCCAAAAUCUCAAAAACAACAAAUAUUUUAUUUUGUUUGAUUUUAGUAUCAGGGAUUAUGAAUUUAUACGUAAAUCGUAUUCCUGAUAUUAAAAAGAUAUUUUCUUUUGACGGCUUCGAAUAGUUAGUUUUUUACCCGAUAAAGAUAAGGAUCUCCUUACAGGAGGACUUUUCUUAAACCGUAAACGAACCAACAAUUCAAAAACCACAACACGAUUUUAGAUUUUAUCAGACAUUAAAACAAUGCAGCCUACCUUAGGUAGGGCGUAGUUGGGGUGCUAAUACCUUCCCUUUACGCAACCAGUCUCCGUACCCGAUCUCUAAAGACCGAUUAAGGUUCCUAGUAACCAAAACACUAGGUGGCGACUCCCAUUCCAAUUUUUCACUUGUAGAGACAAGAAUUCCUUGUCUCUCCCUUUUUUCCAGGAAUAAAUAUUCCAAUUUUUCCUUGAGGGUGGACGAUCGCCGCGCCGCCGCACACGUGCGACACAUAGUGCGGAUGAACUCUGAUUCCUCUGUCUGUCGUGUCAUACCAAUAGUAUUUGAAUAAAAACACUUUAUUCUGCUCGCUAUGAUAUUGCAGUUCGAUGACCUCAUCUAAUCUACCAUAGUAGUCAACUUCUAACUCACUACUUGUGGAUUCCUUAACACAAACACCGUAGUUGUAUGUCUUUCUUCCUUGCCCGUAUUCUUCAGUUUGGAAAGCAUAUCCAUUGACAAAAUACCCGUUGUAGCACUUAACUUUUCUUUCAGGCCCAAGGCUUAGUGAAGACAAUGACUUAGGCACACUCAUUCCCAUUUGAUAAACCUUAUAUAUAUGUAAUGUACAUCAAUAAACAGUAAAUGAACGAGAAUCUCGUAAUGACAUGCAUACGUACAGUAAUUUUGCAAGUUAGAAUGAGUUUGUGAUAAUGCUUACAUGUGUUCUGAACCAUGUGGCAAAUUGUUCAUCUUCUAAUUGAAAGAUCUGGGAUUCGGUCAGCUGCGAGUUAUUGGAGAGCAAAUAUUAUCGAUGUUGCCUGCAAGUGAUAAUGAGUGUAUGAUAUUACAAUAUAUAAUUAGCAGUAUAUAACUGACAAAGUUUAAUUAGUAUUACACAUAUAUAAACUUACUAAAUAAAUGGUCUCAACUCAUCACAGUUAAAUAGAACAUAGUUGUGUACUUGUUUGAAUUAUAUUUCCGACAAAUAUCUUCCUUUUAUGAUAUUUUUAGGUGUGGGUCGUCCAGUAUUGGAGAAUAUUGACAAGUUUCCACUAGAAGGCACUUCACCGCCAUCAUCAUGCCGUGGAACGCGAUUGAUUCUUAUUCUCAGAUGAAGUUUGAAAUAGUAUGAGAUAAAUGUUGAGAUCUCCUCAACAAUAUAGGCCUCAGAUAUCGAAGCCUUAACAUGCGCCUUGUUCUUAACCUUUUUCUUGAGAUUAAACAAGUACCUGCAUUGAAUUACAAUUCAAGUAUUUUCAAUUAAGAAAAACAUAGAAAAUACUUUUAUAUAUGAAUUCCAUUGCAACUGUAAUAUCUAACCGUUCGAAUGGGUACAUCCAUCUAUACUGGACCGGUCCUCCAGCUUUUGCCUCGAACGGUAGAUGUAUACGGAGAUGCUCCAUUGAGUCAAAAAAUGAAGGAGGAAAUAUCAUCUCAAGUUUGCAUAGUGUCUCGACGAUAUUCAUUUGAAGCCUCUUAAUGUGCUCAACAUUCAACUUGCUGGAGCAUAUAUCUCUGAAGAAAUGACUGAUCUUCGUCAGUGCAUCCCAUAUUCCCUUUGGCAACAAAUCACGAAAAGCUAAUAGGAUGAGUGUUUACAUAAACACGUGGCAGUCAUGACUCUUCAUUCCAUACAAUCUGCAGUCCUUUAUGUUAACAAGCCUUGAUAUGUUCGAUGCAUGUCCAUCCGGAAAACGCAGACUCUUAAGCCUUUUGUAAACUAGCAGUUGUGCGUUUUUCUCUAACACGAAGCUUGCCUUUGCUUUUGCGACUCGUGACUGCUCAUAAACCAACUCCAUAUUUUUACGGUUAUAGUAUAAAUCUAUAUCCAAUCUAGCCUUGAUGUUGUCCUUUGUCUUCCCCUUCACAUCCAUGACUGUGUUGAAAAUAUUCUCAAACACGUUUUUUUCGAUGUGCAUGACGUCAAGGUUAUGGCUAAGAAGAUUGGUCUUCCAAUAAGGAAGCUACCAAAAGAUACUUCGCUUUACCCAGUUAUGGGUCAAACCAAAACCAGGAAACUUUUGCUUACGUAAUUGAAGGCUAAAAACAAUGUCACCGUACUCUGAUACAACAUGGUGCAAUUCUUCACCAGAAAGACGCGGGGAUGCAACAUCUUUUUCAACUCUGCCAACAAAGAAAUCUUUUCUGUUCUCUCUGUACCUAUGAUUAAGUGGAAAGAAGCGACGAUGACAGUAAAAAAUAAAAGCUUUACCUCCGUUUGCUAGUGUGAAUGCCUUGUUGUUUUCCAUGCAGUAUGGACAUGCGAGUUUCCCAUGCGUGCUCCAACCAGAAAGAAUUCCAUAAGCUGGAAAAUCAUUGAUAGUCCACAUCAAAGCCGCCCUCAUAAUGAAAUUUUGUUUCCUCAAUAUAUCAUAAGUCAGAGCUUCGGAGGACCACAACUGCGCCAGCUCAUCAAUCAAUGGUCGAAGACAAACAUCUAUAUUCCGCCCCGAGCUGCUUGGACCGGGUAUGACAGUAGAUAAAAACAUGAACUUCAGCCUCAUACACAUUCCUGGUGGCAAGUUAUAAACUGUGAGUAUGACCGGCCAACAAGAACAGGAAGAAGCAAAUGACCCUACUGGGUUGAAUCCGUCUGUACACAACCCAAGAUGCACAUUCCUUGCCUCAGCUAAAAAGUGAGGAUGCACACUAUUAAAGCAUUUCCACGCUUCACCGUCAGAAGGAUGCACCAUCACACCAUCAACCAUAUCAUGUGCUUGGUGCCAUGUCAUGUGCUCAACAGUCCUUGGUGACAUGAAUAACCUCUGCAGUCUAGGUGUGAUCGGGAAGUAUAUAAGUUUUUUAUAUGCCACUAGAGUCUUUUCCCUGCUAGUUCUGAGUUUGUAACGGGAAUGCCCGCAUGUCAUGCACUCGGUCAUCUCAGCAUUUUCAAGGUAGUAUAACAUGCAGAAGUUAGGGCACAUGUCAAUUUUCUGGUAUCCUAAACCGAGGGGUUUCAUCAUGGACUUCGCAGUAUAGAAGUUCUCUUUCAGCCUGUUCCCUUUAGGUAAAAUGCUUCUCGCCUAUUCAAUAAUUUUGUCAUACCCGGCCUCACUAAACCCGUGAUCUGACUUUAUGGUGAACACCUGUGCCAUGGUCGAUAAUUUACUGUGGUUUGUGCAGCCAUCCCAUAAUGGUUCAUCAAAAUCUUUCAACAAAUCAAAAAAUCUACCUGCAUUUGUAUUAGGUUCUUUUUCUACGAUUGGACAUUGACUGACAUUACCUUGAUUCAUUCUCAUUGCAUCCAUAACCAUAUAUCUGUAAGGAUUAGUUUUGUCAUUUGCCACUUCAUGCACGUUGCUAGCACUAGAAGUUGACCCAAGCAUCGUUUCUCCCAUUCUCCUAUUACUAACAAAUACAUCUCCAUGUGCAUACCAACACUAGUAAUCCUCCAUAAACCCUUUGUGUAAAAGAUGCAUCAUUACAACAUCUAGAUACAGAUACUUUUUAUUUUGACACUUCCUGCAUGGACACCUAAUACCGCCUCCAAUAAAAUUUCUGGGAAUAGAUGUUGCGAAAUUAAUAAAACCCUGAACCCCGUUACAAUAAUCCAUCCUCCGCAAUCCUUGGGGUGAAUCUAGAUACAUCCAUGAACGAUCAUCUAUGACUUCUAUCGAACCUCUAUAAAAUUAUGAUGACAUCAUGUAUUAAUUAACUAAGUUAGGUAAAUAAACUUGCAAAAAUAUUACUUUACCUCGAGAUUAUCCAACAAACCAAUCACAACUUCUCAUAAAUAUUAAAUAUUCAUUAUCAUUUAUCAACGUCCAUACAAAUUAAUAUAUAUAAACUUAUGGAAAUUACCAAACCACAAUACCAUCGAUAAAACUUAAAAUGGACCCAUUAAGCAAGCUAUUAAUUAUUUCAAAACAGCACAUGUAAUUCGGUAAUUCCAUAAAGUUUUAACAAUUUACAAACAAAUACAAUCUUACAAAAUCUAAAACAAACCAUAACAGGUAUAAAAUUAUACAUUCAUAUACUACAAGUUUGUUUGAGAAAUAACAAUAAAAUAUGUACAUCUACUAACAAAAUACAUAUAAUAAAAAAAACAACAAAAUUGACAUUUAAAUGUUAAAAUUUAAAAAGAUAGAAUUACUUACAAAAAUUGAUAAAAUUCGUUAGCAAAUCAGAACACGGAUGUUGUGACCACAAAACUUCAAGAAAUAUAACUUGUUGUGCUGAGAUGAGGAAGAUUUUUGUUUGGGUGCUGGUUGUUUGCAGAUGGGGAGAGUUGGGAUUAGGAAGAAGAAGGAGAAAUAGGAGAGGAGAGGGUCGGCAGGUAGGGAAUUAUAUUAACUUUUUUCCGACGGUUUCACUGACGGAUUAUUUCGUCGAUGAGUCUGCGGCUUUUCUGACGGAAAAAUCGACACGUCACCUUACGGAUCUGCCAUUUCAAAUUCGUCGGUAUUUUUUACGGUGAACCAGUCACGUCACUGUACGGGCCUGCCAUUUUGAAUCUGUCGGUGAUUCCGUCGGAAAAAACCACCCUGCCAAAACUUCCACGUCAGCGACUGAUACUCUCUGAUAAAAGCAUAAGCCAAACUUGUGUAUAUAUAUUCCUCAUUAAUGUAUUACCUUAUAUGUGUAUAUUGAACGUUAUCUACUCAAUGAGUUGUUGAACUCAUCCUCUUGUUAUUUAUUAUUUUUAGGCUUAUAGCUUCGUUAAUAGGUCGCUUUUGUGGACUUUUAGAACAUGCUCUUUGUUGCAAUUAACAUUAUUUCGUUAUGUCUAGUUAGAGCUCUACAAUUACAUAAUUUGUAUUAACUUUAUUAUAAAGACAUUGAUUUACAUUAUUAUCAUUGUUCCGUUACUCUAAAUGAGUUAAUAGGAAGAGAAGUUUGUAUAUAUGAUUAGGUUUGCAUAGGUAAAGAACCUGGUGGAGGCCUUGUCUAUUUGUCGGUCAUGGAUCCAAGGUUCGGGUCAUGACAAUUAACUUCCUAAAAAAAGCAUGAUUUAUAAUCAAUUAUAUAUAAAAAAAGUGUUCUAUUAUUAAGACUCGUCUAAUUAGUUUUCAUUUACUAGAAAAUGCAAACUUUCUUUCUGCACUUUUUACCAGGUGAGGUGCUUCCGGUCUAAUAACCCGAGUUAUAGGUUUAGAAAGUUAACGCUGGUUAAUAAUUUUUUUCUACUUAUUUUCUUUUCUGAUUUCAUUAUUUGACAUUGAUUUUUUUUUAAUAGGCUUUAUAGUUUUUUUUGUUUUUUUUAAAUAAGAUUAUAUUAUUUUCAUAACCUGAACUAUAAAUUUAAUAUAUUAUCCUGGGUUAACUCAAUCCUUUUCCGACCGCGCGGUAGUGCAGGUGGGCAUUAGUGCAAUAGCUAUUUGAAGGUUUUUUUUUUUUUCCAACGGGUAAAGUUAUGUUAGAGUUAGUUUAUACAUUAACUGACGCUAAAUCUUAUAAAUCUUUUCUCGAGAGAUCUUAAAAACAUAUCCUCUGCAUCAAUCCUAGUAUAUUUAAUAAAUUUCAGUAAAUGUUUGUCUUAAAAUUUGGCGCAGAACAAAUAGUUAGAGUUGCUAUUUGAAGUGGUGAAAUGGUAAUAAUAAUAUGACAGACUUCUACUCUUUCUCCGUUGAUCAAUGAAUUAAUUCAUUCAUAAAAAAAGAUAAAUUCAUGUAGGUGCGAUAGAUCUAUGGGUCAACUUCAGUGAGCUGUUAAGGUUUUACUCCCUACCCUCACUUGUACUGCUGUUCAUACCAUAUAAGGCUAUUUCCACUACUCUACAAGCUUGAUAAUAAUGGAGAUCGCUAUGCGUACAGGCCUGAUUAAUUCAUUUACUAGCAUUACAAUGCUUUUGGUUUGCAUCUUCUUACUCUUUUUAUCAGUAGCCUUUGCUGCACAAGUCAGUAUCACUUCCAAUGAAUCCAUUAAAGAUGGCGGGAGCACUCUAGUUUCAGCAAAUGGAACUUUUGAACUGGGUUUUUUUAGCCCAGGAAAUUCAAUGAAUCGAUUUUUGGGAGUAUGGUACAAGAAUGAAGCUCAUAAAGAAGUUAUUUGGGUUGCCAAUAGAGAAAUUCCGCUUAAGGAUCGUUCUGGAUUUCUAAAUUUCACCCAGCAAGGAGUUUUGCUUCUUCUCAACGGAAACAACAAAAUAAUUUGGUCAUCCAACAAAACAACAAAUGUUGAGAGUCCAGUUGUGCAGCUAUUGGAUACAGGAAAUCUAGUUGUGAAAGAUGGGAAGGAUAAUAACUCCAUUUUAUGGCAGAGUUUUGAAUAUCCUUGUGAUACGUUUCUACCAGGAAUGGUGAUCGGAGGGGAUUCACAAACUGGUGUGGAUAGAAACCUGAGAUCAUGGAAGAGCGCAGACGAUCCUGGUCCAGGCCAAUUUUCAUAUGGGAUAGAUCGUCAGGGGUUUCCACAGCUAGUCAUCAGGAAUGGAACUUCGACGCACUGUAGGCUGGGUUCAUGGAAUGGAAUAAGUUUCAACUGGAUUCCUGAUCUGCCUGAUCUGUACUUGAAGUUUGAUUUUAUUUUGAACAAGACUCAUGUAGAUUAUAGUUAUGAAUUCCGGAGACCGGGUUCAUUGUUGACGAGGUUAAUUGUGAAUCAGUCAGGAUUCGUGGAACGCUUUGCACGUUCAAUUCAAGCUAAUGGUUGGACAAGUUCGUAUAAGGUACCAAGAGAUCUCUGUGACAAAUAUUCAGUAUGUGGUGCACAUAUGAUUUGCAAAAUGGUCGAUCAAUCCCACAAUUGUACUUGCUUGGAAGGAUUUGAACCCAAAUCUCUUACAGAUUGGAGUGAAGGGUGUGCUAGAAGGAGUCCAUUGAAUUGCACACAGGACAUCUUUCACAAUUUUAUAGGGCUUAAGUUGCCGGAUACAUCCCUUUCCUGGUAUGAUACAAGCAUGAGUCUAGUAGAAUGCAAGGACAAGUGUCUAAAAAACUGCAGUUGCACGGCAUAUGCAAAUUCAAAUAUCACAGGAGAAGGCAGUGGCUGCAUACUCUGGUUUGGUGAAUUGGUUGAUAUCAGAGAGUUCAGUCCAGGGGGCCAAGACCUCUACAUAAGGAUGCCACCACCUUUGAAAACAGGUAUUUAUCAAUAUUCUUCCCAUGAUUCUCAAGCAGGGUAUUUUUUUCACUCUUUCUCUCUGUUUCUUUUUUUCUUUUUCUUUUUUUGAAAUGAGGAAGUUGUAUGUUCCUUAAAUGUUUUCCUAACUUCGUGUCCUCAUUUCCUCAUUCUAUUUACAAAUAAAACAGAACUCCUUUCUGUGUUUAUUGUGGGUUUUCAGAUCAGACGACGUCCAACACAAAUUCUGGUAAGAAGAAGCUUUUAGGAAUCAUACUCGGUUCCACACUCCUUGCUGGAGUGCUUACGGUAGGACUAACCUUCUAUAUAUGGAGAAAGAAGCAGAGAAAGCAAGGUAGUGUACUUUGGACAAUUCUUCUUAUUCCAGAACAUGGACCUUGUUGAUAUAUAUAGUAUACAUGGUAGAUUACUAAUAUUGUAGAAUUUUAUGUUAGUCAUCGAUAACAAAAUGAAGCAUUUGUUAGAUCAUGUUGUUAGUCAAAUUAGCUUUGAUAAGGAGAAGCUGUUCGUUUAUCAAUCUUCUGCUAUUCAGAAAUAGAGGAAGACAUGGAGUUACCAUCGUUUCAUUUGGCCACCAUAGUGAAAGCAACGGAUAACUUUUCAAGCAACAACAAGUUGGGACAAGGUGGUUUUGGACCGGUAUAUAAGGUAUAUAACAACGUGCUUCAAAGCUGAGAGAUCAUCUACUAUGAGAUAUUCUAACUUCAGUAAAUAACGAUUCGCAGGGUACAUUGAUUGAUGGGCAAGAAAUAGCAGUGAAAAGACUUUCAAAAAGUUCUCGGCAAGGAUUGACAGAGUUCAAGAAUGAAGUUAUCUUGAUAGCUAAGCUUCAGCACAGAAAUCUUGUUAAACUUCUUGGCUGUUGCAUUCAAGGAGAUGAAGUCAUGUUGAUCUAUGAAUUCAUGCCCAACAAAAGCUUAGAUUAUUUUAUUUUCGGUUUGUACCCCAUGAACUGGUUAGAGUUUCUUGCAGUUAGAUUGCUUGUUCUAUGAUGUUUCAUUUAUACAUCAGAAUAACAUAACAUUAUGAUAAAUUGAUUAGAUCAAACAAGAAACAAAUUCCUGGACUGGCAGAGACGUAACCUCAUUAUCGGUGGCAUUGCUAGAGGACUACUUUAUCUUCAUCAAGACUCUAGACUAAGGAUUAUCCAUAGAGAUCUCAAAGCCAGCAACAUAUUAUUAGAUAAGGAUAUGCACCCCAAAAUUUCAGAUUUCGGAAUGGCUAGACUGUUUGGAGGAGACCAAAUUGAAGCAGACACAAAUAAAGUGGUCGGAACAUAGUAAGUACACUCUACACCUAUUUUGUUACAUUUAAACUUUUUCUGAUAAUGUUUUUCCGCAGUGGAUACAUGCCCCCUGAGUACGUUGUUGAUGGGCGUUUCUCACUGAAAUCCGACGUCUUCAGCUUCGGUGUUUUAGUCUUGGAGAUAAUAAGUGGGAAGAAAAAUAGAGGAUUCUCCCACCCGGAUCACUGCCAUAAUCUUCUUGGACAUGUAAGGAUAAAAUUAAACAUGUUAAUUUAAUUUAAUUAUGUAUUAACAAUUUUUAUCAUAACAAGUUUUUGUUUUCAAGGCAUGGAAACUGUGGACGGAAGAGAGGGCAUUGGAGCUUCUUGACAAUAUGUCAGAUCGCCCGUAUUCUGUAUCUGAAGUAUUGAGAUGCAUUCAUGUGGGUCUGCUAUGCGUGCAACAAAAGCCGGAAGACAGACCAAAUAUGUCAUCUGUGGUUUUGAUGUUGGGCAGUGAGAAUUCAUUGCCUGACCCAAAGCAACCUGGUUUUUUCACGGAAAGGAAUAUGCCCGCAGUGGACUCUUCAUCAGGAAAUCAUGAAUCAUCGUCUAUAAAUGACCUAACUAUUUCAGAGCUAGAUGCACGGUAGAAGAUUGGCUCUGAUGGUUAAAAGGAAGAGCUAUAUAUAUAUAUAUAUAUGUAUGUAUAUUCUAGCCAAAUCCAAGGCAUAUAACAGAAAUUAAAUAUUUUCUGCUAUAAUUAUGUUGAUGUAUUAUUUUUACCUGUCUACAAGUCCUCUGCAAGUACUAGUGCGAAUACAGAUAGACAGAAUGCUUGAGGAUUCACAUCUCUGGACUGCACAAUAUCUGUACUUGUUUGCUUCGAGCCGUCGAAUUUAAUGCACGGAUCUGGGUUCAAGAUCUAUAUAUGCUAGAGCCUCACUGGCUUCUAACCCAAAAAGAAUCCAUUAGAAUUGUCAAUAUAUAAUUAGUAAAAAAAAAUUACAUACAAUUUAAACAAUCCAAAUUUAUAAUUCAAAUUUACAUUAUAUUUUUCAUAACAUGUUAAAAAAAUAUAUUUUUAACAACCAUACAAGGAGCUAUAGUCUUUCCUUGAUUGAUUUCAUAGCACCUUAAACUUAGCCUUGACCUAACCCUUUUAGGGAUAAAUAUUAUAGGUACGAGUACCUUGAUGAUACUUAGCCUUUGUAGGGGAAUCCGACCGGUGAUGUUUUGAUAUUUGCUCAUAGUAGGCUAAGCACACUAACACAAUAUUUAACGUGGUUCAACAAACCGCCUACAUCCACGGGAGAAACCAUUUGAUUAUAUAGGGAGAGAACAAGAUUUACAACAGUAGAGGAGGAGGAAUCAUCCCCUCUUUGGCAACUCUCAACCUCACUCUAUUUGAUGUUGGGCAGUGAGAAUUCAUUGCCUGACCCAAAGCAACCUGGUUUUUUCACGGAAAGGAAUAUGCCCGCAGUGGACUCUUCAUCAGGAAAUCAUGAAUCAUCGUCUAUAAAUGACCUAACUAUUUCAGAGCUAGAUGCACGGUAGAAGAUUGGCUCUGAUGGUUAAAAGGAAGAGCUAUAUAUAUAUAUAUAUGUAUGUAUAUUCUAGCCAAAUCCAAGGCAUAUAACAGAAAUUAUAUAUUUUCUGCUAUAAUUAUGUUGAUGUAUUAUUUUUACCUGUCUACAAGUCCUCUGCAAGUACUGGUGCGAAUACAGAUACACAGAAUAAUGCUUGAGGAUUCACAUCUCUGGACUGCACAAUAUCUGUACUUGUUUGCUUCGAGCCAACGAAUUUAAUGCACGGAUCUGGGUUCAAGAUCUAUAUAUGCUAGAGGCUCACUGGCUUCUAACCAAAAAGAAUCCAUUAGAACUUUGGAUAGAUUUAUGUAUUUCCUACAAUUCAGUAAUUGUUUUAUAUUGAAAAAUUUUAUUCUGAGUCUAUUUAUUUUUUUAUGUUAUUAAUUUAUUGAUUUAUAUUAUCU
rnacentral:lncRNA from 1 species